GUGAGGUAACGGCUCACCAAGGCGAUGACGGGUAGCUGGCGUGAGAGCGAGAUCAGCCACACUGGGACUGAGACACGGCCCAGACUCCUACGGGAGGCAGCAGUGGGGAAUCUUGCGCAAUGGGCGAAAGCCUGACGCAGCGACGCCGCGUGGGGGAGGAAGGCCCUAGGGUUGUAAACCCCUGUCAGGUGGGACGAACCGGGGAUCGGCGAAAGCCGGUUCCUCUGACGGUACCACCAGAGGAAGCUCCGGCUAACUCCGUGCCAGCAGCCGCGGUAAAACGGAGGGAGCGAGCGUUGUUCGGAAUUACUGGGCGUAAAGGGCGCGUAGGCGGCUCUGUAAGUCGUAUGUGAAAGGCCGGGGCUCAACCCCGAGUAUUGCAUGCGAUACUGCAAGGCUAGAGACAGGUAGGGGCGAGCGGAAUUCCCGGUGUAGCGGUGGAAUGCGUAGAUAUCGGGAAGAACACCGGUGGCGAAGGCGGCUCGCUGGGCCUGUUCUGACGCUGAAGCGCGAAAGCGUGGGGAGCGAACAGGAUUAGAUACCCUGGUAGUCCACGCCGUAAACGCUGGGUACUAGACGUUGGGAGGCUUGGCCCUCUCGGUGUCGCAGCUAACGCAUUAAGUA
rnacentral:rRNA from 1 species